rnacentral:rRNA from 1 species
UACGAAGGGGGCUAGCGUUGCUCGGAAUCACUGGGCGUAAAGCGCACGUAGGCGGAUUGUUAAGUCAGGGGUGAAAUCCUGGAGCUCAACUCCAGAACUGCCUUUGAUACUGGCGAUCUCGAGUUCGGGAGAGGUGAGUGGAACUGCGAGUGUAGAGGUGAAAUUCGUAGAUAUUCGCAAGAACACCAGUGGCGAAGGCGGCUCACUGGCCCGAUACUGACGCUGAGGCGCGAAAGCGUGGGGAGCAACAGG